GGCCUCGUAGCUCAGGUGGAUAGAGCGGAGGUUUCCUAAACCUUGUCUUGCGGGGGUUCGAGUCCCUCCGGGGCCACCA
rnacentral:tRNA from 1 species